AAAGGGUUCUACAAGGAAGGUUUAUGAAAACCUUGAGAAUAAAAAUGCAGAAUAAUCAUAUCCUUAUAGAUUGUAUCAAGACGACAGAAAUUGUAUGAUCAGACCCCUGACCAUCGCCUCAGCUCAUCAUUGCGUCAUCUGGAUGGCUUCCCUAAGCUCCCACCUGGGCCCAGAAAGGAAACGGCUUAUGACCUGCAGUCUUUGACUAUCACCAUCUCCAUUCUAUUUAUGGCCCUGCUGCACCUCUGUGCAAAUUAGGAGAAGGUGACCCUCUUGUGGGGAUGGAGGAGAAGGACAAACCAGGCCGUGAUCUGGCCAGUAAAGUGGGACUGGGCUGGCUCCUGGUGGGCUUUGGUAAGGUGUAACCUGCACCAUGGUCAUUACUGCCCAAAAUGAGAGCCAUCAGCUUGCUAAGAAUCGCUGAGCCCGGAGCGCCACUCUUGGGUGAAGAUGCUUCUUUCAGAUCCCCGCCUACCCACCUGCAAGGCUUGCAGGAAGUCUUGAGAAGAACCAAGAAGGAGGCUGAUGCUCCUAGUUGUUCAUGAGCAGCCAAUGUGGUAGGCUGAUGCCUAACAGUUUCCACCUUCUUCUGCAUUUGUGGCUGAGGAUCUACCCAUGAGCCCCACAGAGCAAGAGCUGCCAGAUUAAUGCUCCUGCCUAUGACAUGGAAAUUGUCAAAAAUAGACCUGAAUCCUUGCCAGGCCUCCCCAUGAUUUCUGUGUAGUAUGGCCUUAAAUAUAUUAGAUAAGUCAGAAGCCUAAAAUAGCUCAGCUCUUAGAAUAACAGAAUUUGGUCCCCUCCCACUUCCGUAAGUUGAAUUCUUAAUUGCUAAAUUUCAGGCUUUUUUGUUGUUGUUUAUGUAAGAAUUUCAAGGCCACAACUCCAUAUUUGAAGUAAAGUGCUCAUAAAAUUAAUUGCAAGACUUCUGAAGAGAGAUUUGCUAGGAAAAAUAAAAAGAUAUAUAAAUUUCAGUGAUGCUGAAGGAGAGGAAGGAUGUGAUGUCUUUCCCCAUCCGUCAUAAGGGUCAUGGCCAACACUCCUAUAACAAAAGGUUUUGAGAAGCCAUCUGCAGCUCACAACUAGAUGAGUGACACAAUCAGAUGUGCGUAUGCAAAAAAAAGCCUGGAGACAUUGAACUAAGAUCAAAUUUAAUGUAUUAAAUAUGGUAGAAAGAAGAGAGAAUGAAAAAUAAUGUUAACAAUCUAGGUGAGGAAUUGCUGAGGAGACAAAUUAAGUAAAUCCUGUGGAAGGAAAGAAGAAAGGAGGAAAGAGGAUUGGAUGGAAGAAUCUCCACUUCUCAUAGGUGUAGUCCUUCCUUAGCCUGCUUUUUAAUGAGUGCUGCUAAAGCCCUUAGCCUGCCUGUUUACCCUUGGAGUGGAGCAAUGAACUGAAGAUAUUUGAGUGAGUUCAAGAGAGACUCAGAAGAGAAGAAUUGGAGGCAGCAAACAUAGACAGCACUUUUAAUGCUUUUCUCAUAUGCUGUAAGACAUGAAAGCAAUCUAUUGGGAUGAAAGCUGAAAGGAGAAGCGGGACAAGAGAAGUGAAUCCGUGGAAGACCCCCAAAAGAGGCUGCAGAUUCUUAGUGGACAGCUCUCAUAUCCCCUCCAGGGAAAAUGAUGAAAAAUGUCUUCAGAAAAAUAGCUUUAUGAAGGCAAGAGGACUUUUUGCACCUGCAAGACAUGUCUGAAAGCUCCUCAGGUCAAAACACAAGUAGUCAAGAGAUUUGUCCAUCUAAUUCAUCAUACUACUCUGAUCCAAGUGAGACCCACACUGGGUCAGCUCCAUCAAGGAGAAGAACAUUCCACCCACGUUUGGAUUCUGGAAUAUCAUCCUUGCUUCCAUCAGAUUCUUGUAAGUACCUCACUUGGCACAAGGUAGACAUGACGUUCAAGGAAGUCAACUGCGUUGCCCAAGAGUAAGAGAAGGAAUCUCUGAAGAAGAGCAACUUUUCAGACAGGUAGAGUGUGCCUUGCUCCCAAGGAAAAGAGUUCUUGAAAAAAACAAAUGGGAAACAUGGCUACAAGAAAACUGGGAAGACUGCAAGAAUUUGAACAUUUCAUUUCAGGGUUUGGGGGAUCCUUACCAAGUUGAAAAUUUUAACAGAAUUCUUAGAAGACUAAUUCGAGUUGAAACCCUCUGGUUAGUGGAUAAUUCACUGGUGGACUUAAGUGCCAUAAGAUUGCCAAGGCAAAAACAUGCUAACUGACAAGAAAAUCAUGGGUUUUAUACAAGGAUAACAAGUGCUGGGUUGCUUAGCUAUGAGGAAGGCUAGGCUCACUGCAUACCAGAAGAUGUACAGCGUUGGAGAAUUCAGGGAUUUUUAUCAACAAUCAAACUAUAUUUGUGGAAAUUUUGUGCAUAAGUGCCAAAGAUGGCUGACAUCGGACCACAUUCUAUUUAACUCAACUGAAUGACACCAAGCUCUCAUCCUAAAACUUAUAGUUACAUCCACCCUUCUGAAAUAUUUAAUUAUUCUCCAAUACACUGGAGGUAAUAGGUAUAAAAAGAAUGAGCAUGUGCAACUUAGUAUCUCAUAUCUAAUUUUGUGUCCCAAGUUCAUUCUUCCCCUGAAUGUCCCAUGUCUACCAGGUGCAGGAUUAUCUGGAUGGGUCAGUUCAAAACAAUUUCAGGGAAUAAAUUGUGUAGGGGACUCAAUUUUCUGAGACAGAAACAUAAUGUGAAUAACUCCUUUGUUAGAAAAUAAUUUCAGUGACAGAAAGCCUUUCAGUUCAUAAAGAAAACUUACAUAUCAACAAGCCUAGCUCCUCACUAGUCCCAGUGAAUGCUUACAUCAAUCAGCUCUACAAUAUCCAGUAAAGGACUUUCCAAUUCGCCUUUGAAUAAACUGAGGUAUUGGAAACAUCUAAGAAAAUGGUUUUUAAUUCUUCCUAAUCUUCAGGGAGUUCUUCCUUAUAUUGAGCUGAUAUCUGCCCUCUGUAACUUUCAACUAAUUAUUCAAAUCUCUCAAGUGAUUAUAAUUAAUUCCAUCUUAUAAGGAAUUUUUCUCAGCUUCCAGCCUCUUGAAAAUACUCUGAUAUUUUCUCUAAUAUUCAAGUGGAAAUGUAAAUGGGUAACGUAAGAGUCUGUGGGGUUAGGAGGGUGGAGGAAAGGUAAGGGAAAGCUAAUGAGAAAUAACCAAAGCAAGAAAAAGAAUUUUAUUUUCUUCAAGUUCUUUGUACAUCCAAAGUGGAAGAUUCCUAAAAUAAAUUCCCCAUACCACAUUUUAAAAAUUAGGUUAGCAAGCUUACUUUUUAAUUUAUUUAGAAGCCAACUACUUCCAUUUAUUAUUUCUUUCCAGAAUAGAACAAUUAUCACUAAUUGUUUGUCAUUAUAAUGCCAAACUAUGUUAAUAGAUGCCUAUUUUUUUAAAGGCUAAUUGCAAUCAUGAAACCAAAUAUCUAAUUAGUUUUAGAGCUUUGGACCACAUGCAUCAAUAUUUGAAUCAUUCAGGUGUAUAUUUGCUUUCUGCUUUUUUGUCUCUUCAAAAGAAGUAUUAUAUGCAUUCUGUUUAUAAUUUCUAAAUGGUCAUUUCAAAACUGAUUAUACGAGUUUAUACAAAUCAUACUGAAAUUUGUUGCUUAAAAAAUCUUCAUUUUUCUCUAAGCUCUCAGUGUCCUUGAGCUAUAUAUAUUUUAUGGCAAUUUUUACUUAAUAGUUUGUAUGCUAGUUAUUUUUGACAAUGACUACUAAAAUGCAAGUUUCUUCAAGGGCAGAUUCACCUUAGUUCUUCUUUAUACCCCUCAAAAACCUCAGGGUUAUUCUCAAUAAGUAUUGAGUAGGUGAGUGAACUUUGGAUGUAUACUCCUUGAAAUUAUAUUUCUGGAGCUGGAAAACUUUAAAAAAAUGUAUGUCAUGAGUCUAAAGAAAUAAACAUUAUAUGGCUGAAAAAAUACUUUGUGAAAACCAAAAAUCUCAUGGAAUCAUGAACUUAUCUAUGGGACAGAUGUUAGCCCUGAGGUUGUUCUGGGCUUCUUUUCUACCCACUUCCCAUGACCAAAUCAGUUCACUAGUCAGCAGUUCUAUCCUUCCUCUCCUUCUCCUUCCAUCUAAGGAGCUAGAGCUGAACUGCUUGGCCACUGAUUGCUGACAUGCUGAGUUUUCUACAGCUGGAGUUUUCAAGAGGGCUUUGAUUUUGCUUUCCCCAGUUUUCCUUCUUCCACACUUGAAAAGUGGUAAGGGUACCAGCUUUCUGUCUAUCUCUGACUCUCUCUCUCUCUUUCACACACACACACACACACACACACACACACACACACACUUUUUUUUUUCUUCCACCCUCCUGCACAGCAGGAGACCUUGCCUUGAUCUUUGAAGGUCUACAGCAAGUGGUCUAGGCUAACUCAGUGCUGGGCAAAUGGAGCAAAAACUCUUUUCUGCUUCCUUGCCUCCAUGUCUUUCAGAGCUAGCAGAUACAGCUUUUGUUCUAUAGGAGUGAUUCUUUCUAAAUGUCAGCUCAACAGGAUGAUGGUCACUCUUGUAUAUCACUUAGGCAUGAGUUCUGUUGAAUCCCA
rnacentral:lncRNA from 10 species